GACGAACGCUGGCGGCGUGCUUAACACAUGCAAGUCGAACGGUGACGAGGAGCUUGCUCCUCUGAUCAGUGGCGAACGGGUGAGUAACACGUGAGCAACCUGCCCCAGACUCUGGGAUAACAGUUGGAAACAGCUGCUAAUACCGGAUACGAGACGGAGAGGCAUCUCUACCGUCUGGAAAGUUUUUCGGUCUGGGAUGGACUCGCGGCCUAUCAGCUAGUUGGUGAGGUAAUGGCUCACCAAGGCGACGACGGGUAGCCGGCCUGAGAGGGCGACCGGCCACACUGGGACUGAGACACGGCCCAGACUCCUACGGGAGGCAGCAGUGGGGAAUAUUGCACAAUGGGCGAAAGCCUGAUGCAGCGACGCCGCGUGAGGGAUGACGGCCUGUUGUAACGUAC
rnacentral:rRNA from 1 species